rnacentral:snRNA from 1 species
GGAUGUGAGGGCUAUCUGGCUGCAACAUCUGUCACCCCACUGAUCUGAUCGCCAGGGUUGAUUCGGCUGAUCUGGCUGGCUAGGCGGGUGUCCUCUUCCUCCCUCACCUCUCCAUGUGCGUCCCUCCCCAAGCUGCUCACUCGGUCGAAGAGGACGACCAUCCCCCAUACAGGAGGACCGUUCUUCUGUCAAGGGUAUAGAGUAGCUGGGCUUCCCUGAUAGAACCUCCAAACAAGCUCUCAAAAAUAAUCAGAACAAAAAGGGAUGGAGGUGUGACUUAAGUGGUAGAGCACCCACUUUCUAGGCAAGAAGCUUUGACU